UUUAAGCGUAGUCAUAAGUUUCCGUAUCCAACUUUGAUCGUCUAUCUUAUUUAAAAUUUUUUUAUGAUUAGUAUAUUUAUAUUAUUAUUAGAUCUAGAACAUGAAUAGUAUUUUAUGCGUGACUUAUAUUUUUAAUUUUUUUCAAAAAAAUUUAAAUAAGAUGGAUGAUUAACUUUGGAUGUAGAAACUCAUGGUCCCGCUUAAA
rfam:Oryza punctata chromosome 2, whole genome shotgun sequence.